CUCCCUUGCUCGCUCCCUGCCUCCUUCCUCGCGCCUCGGCCCAACAUGGCGAUGCACAACAAGGCGGCGCCGCCGCAGAUCCCGGACACCCGGCGGGAACUGGCCGAGUUGGUGAAGCGCAAGCAGGAGCUGGCGGAGACGCUGGCAAACUUGGAGAGGCAGAUCUAUGCUUUUGAAGGGAGCUACCUGGAAGACACCCAGAUGUAUGGCAAUAUUAUUCGGGGCUGGGACCGCUAUCUGACAAAUCAAAAAAACUCCAAUAGCAAAAAUGAUCGUAGGAACCGAAAAUUUAAGGAAGCUGAGCGACUCUUCAGUAAAUCCUCAGUUACUUCAGCAGCUGUAAGUGGGGCAGUCAGUGCAUUGGCUGGAGUUCAGGACCAACUCAUUGAAAAAAGGGAACCAGGCAGUGGUACAGAGAGUGACACAUCUCCAGACUUUCACAAUCAGGAGAAUGAACCCAGCCAAGAGGACACAGAGGAUCUGGAUGGAUCUGUGCAGGGGGUGAAACCCCAGAAGGCUGCUUCCUCUACCUCUUCAGGGAGUCAUCACAGCAGCCAUAAAAAGAGGAAGAAUAAAAACCGACACAGGUAUGUAUAUUAGGUUAGGCUGGGAAGUUUUUUUAAAAAACAGAAAAACGUGAUGGAGGAUUGAUCUGAAGCUAAACAAAAAGCCAAGAGCCGAUUAUUAGAAGACCCAUUAGUACAGAAGCUUACAGGCUGUAGAGCCCUGCCCUCAUACAACUUCACCAAGAGAAACACCCCUCCACUGAGUGGCCAUUAAUGUCUGCACUCCCAGACCCAGUGCCUGCAUUGAGGAGUAGUUUGUUCUAAAGAGGGGUGAAAGAAAAUCCUUUCUGUAAAACCACAUCAGACCAUUUACCUCGUGUCAUUUUUAGUAACUGAACUGCAGGAAGACCAAGGCAUGGUGCAGUCCUAGGUUGCCUACUUUCUGCAUUUCUCCAUUCUUGGGAUUGAGUACUUCCUAGCACUGGCUGCUCUGGCUGCAUCAGAUUCUUCUGUGAUACCCAUCAAGAGAUAUCUUGGGGUUUGUUGUUUUUGUUUUUUUUUUUUUUUGAUGCUAGAACCAGCGCCCAAUUGUGUUUUGUCAUAUGGAGGCUGUAAAUAUCAGGCAUUUUCUUAUUCUGCCUUAUGUGUUGUUUGUUGUUACUGUCUUAUUUUCUUUGAGGGGUUUGUUGUAAUACGCUUGUACAGCUUAUGGCUUCCUGCUGUUUUCUUUGGAAUCUGAUUAUCCUUACUUGGCUUAGAGGCUGAUAUCCUAACACAGAUAAUUUCUAGUAGCAUAAAUAAAAUGGAUGACUUGU